GGAGGAGUUCCCGAGUGGCCAAAGGGGACGGACUGUAAAUCCGUUAGCAGAGCUUUCGCUGGUUCGAAUCCAGCUUCCUCCACCA
rnacentral:tRNA from 1 species